AUUGAACGCUGGCGGCAUGCCUAACACAUGCAAGUCGCACGAGCGGCGGACGGGUGAGUAAUUUAUUGGUAUGUGCCCGGUAAUGGGGGAUAACUACUUGAAACGUUGGCUAAUACCGCAUAUUAUCGGAGGGGCCAAUAUCGUAUUAGCUAGUUGGUGGGGUAAAGGCCCACCAAGGCGACGAUCAGUAGCGGGUCUGAGAGGAUGAUCCGCCACACUGGGAAUGAGACAGGGCACAUACUCCUAAGGGAGGCAGGAGUGGGGAAAGUUGGACAAUGGACGCAAGCCUGAUGCAGCCAUACCGCGUGUAUGAAGAAGGCCUUAGGGUUGUAAAGGACGUAUAGAGGGGAGCGUUACCCAAAGAAUAAGCACCGGCUAACUACGUGCCAGCAGCCGCGGUAAUAC
rnacentral:rRNA from 1 species